CCGCCGCACCCGGAGCCUCUCGCACGGAGCUGCAGCCGGGGUACGGGAGGGCACCUCGCUUCUGGCAACGAGAAACGUGUCCAUCCCCCCCGUCCCACCCCGAUCGCCUCCUCUUGAGCACUGAGGCUGCCAAGUAUUUCUCACUAAAGGCAGUUUGCCCUCUCUGGUCCACCGAAAGUCUAAAACAGGCUGUAUCAGUUUCCUCGUGCUAGGGGGAAAAUAAAAAGUAAAUUAACCGAAUUCGUUUUGUGCUCAACGCAGGACCUUCGCCUUCUGAAACGGGAACUGAAAUUGGGCUUGUCAGCAUCGAGUUGCUGAUGAAAAUCUUGGUCACCUCAGCAUUUGCCGUCUUUUUGUCUCCUUAAGAAAAAAAAAGUUAUGAGAAGUGUUUUGUACGUAUGAUAAGCAUAUUUAUGAAAGUGACCGCUAAAUUAUCCAGAAAUCCUGUCCUUAAGGCUAAAAACCUGUAAGGAAAUAAACAUAAUCAUAUAAUCGCAUAAUUAAAACCUUUACCUUAAUGCCUAUUCUCGUUUAAAGGUUGCACAUUAAGUGCAGUACUUAAGUACUGUGAGGAGAAUAAUUAUAGUUGUUGACAUUGUGUUGUGAAAUGUACAAAAAAAGUUAAUAUCUUAUUGAAAAAAAAAUCCACUUGAUGUCAAGCACUUUGUGCACUUAGUUAGAGCUUUAUGAUCAGGAUCAUUACAGGCGUGUUAGGAACUGAGACUGCCUGUGCAUGGACAGGCAGUUCAUGGGCUGUAGUUGGGAGUAAUGUAGUUUCCUGAGCUGCUAGUAAAGGAAGGAAAGACUUGAACUUGUGCAGUUUAUUUUUGUCUGUUUAUUUUCCAUUAGUAACAUUUGAAUCUUUUAGCUAGAAUCAACCACAAUUAACAAAAAGUUUUGAAAAAUAAUGUGGAAAAGAGCAUAUCACCCUUCAAAAAACCAGCAUCAUGAAUGGUAAUUACAUGAAAGAAUCCAUCCACAGACAACUGCUGUCUGAAUCACAAAUUAAUAAAAAACAGGUUUCUUUGUCUCCUUAUCUUAAUAAUUGAUUUGCUUUUAUGUGAGAAGUGUUUCAAACUUUUCUAUGUUUUAAACUGUAACCAUUAAAUCAGAAGACGCAGACCUGGAAGUCUCAGUAAUGUAACAUUUAAGCAUACCUUCAUUCUUUAGGAUGUUAUUGUUAUUAUUUAUGUAUCGUCCAUUUCCAGGCCAAGUUUUUCAGAUUCAGGAGGGAAUACUUUGUCACAUGUCUGUAAAGCAGCCAGCUCUCUACAGUCUCUGGGCAGCUUCUGGCACUGUACUCAUAAGGAACACUCACGGUGACACAGAACACAGCACAUUGUAACUACAGGAACAGACGCGACUGUGAAAGAUCUCUAUCAGGCAUCACAGAGAAUUUGAGGCAGCUGGCAGUUAUCAGCUGAAGCAGUUAGUCACUAGAACUGCACAAGAUAAAUAGAUAAUUGAAAAGCCAUCUGGAAACCUGGGAAAGAUAAUAAGCCUCUCUUCUAGAAGUGAGGUAACAGCUCAGGCAGCACACCCUGGCAGAAGGUGGAGGAGGGAAUGAACACCACAAAACAGCCACAAGACAACGAGCAUAGGUGCAGAAGCCACAGAAGGCAGAAAUCCAACUCUCUCUCACCAACUAAAAACCAGGCUGCAAGUGUGAUGGCCUUGAUGAAAGGGUAUGCUUCUACCCCCAGGAUAAUGAGAAUUUUUCCAUGUUUUCGAGGGGGAGAAUGAGGGUCAAUGACUUGUCUUUGGCUUUCUUGUUGAGCAGAGCUCAGUGACAGCUGCUGGUGAUUGCAAGCUGCUGGGUCCCCUCUCACUGCAUGUCUGUUUAAACUUUUUCCUAAGGCACCAGGAGUCCCUUGGGGAUCUGCUGAGGGGAAUAAAUGCCUAAUGUGGGACUCCAAAUCACAUCUUCAAUCUGGCAUUUUUCCUUUGAGUAUUUUUCUCGUAAGGGAUGUUUACAAACUGGCACAAUGCCCUGACUUUCCUUUUCUCUUUUCUCUUAAACAAAUAGAAACAAUGAA